rnacentral:rRNA from 1 species
GUUACAGCCGCCGCGGUAAUACGGAGGGUGCAAGCGUUAAUCGGAAUUACUGGGCGUAAAGCGUGCGUAGGUGGUUCGUUAAGUCAGAUGUGAAAGCCCUGGGCUCAACCUGGGAACUGCAUUUGAAACUGGCGGACUAGAGUUUAGUAGAGGGGAGUGGAAUUUCAGGUGUAGCGGUGAAAUGCGUAGAUAUCUGAAGGAACACCAGUGGCGAAGGCGACUCCCUGGACUAAAACUGACGCUGAGGUACGAAAGCGUGGGUAGCAAACAGGAUUAGAUACCCGUGUAGUCC